rnacentral:rRNA from 1 species
UACGUAGGGUGCGAGCGUUAAUCGGAAUUACUGGGCGUAAAGCGUGCGCAGGCGGUUGGGUCAGUCGCUGGUGAAAGCCCCACGCUCAACGUGGGAAUGGCCAACGAGACGGCCCGACUGGAGGCAGGGAGAGGCCGGUGGAAUUCCGGGUGUAGUGGUGAAAUGCGUAGAGAUCCGGAGGAACACCAGAGGCGAAGGCGGCCGGCUGGACCUGACCUGACGCUGAGGCACGAAGGCGUGGGGAGUGAACGGG